CAUGAAGUCGGAAUCGCUAGUAAUCGUAGAUCAGAAUGCUACGGUGAAUACGUUCCCGGGCCUUGUACACACCGCCCGUCACACCAUGGGAGUGGGCUGCAAAAGAAGUGGGUAGUUUAACCUUUCGGGGAGGACGCUCACCACUUUGUGGUUCAUGACUGGGGUGAAGUCGUAACAAGGUAGCGCUAGGGGAACCUGGCGCUGGAUCACCUCCUUAUACGAAGAU
rnacentral:rRNA from 1 species